UGCAGUCGAGCGAGAAAGUAUCUUCGGAUAUGAGUAGAGCGGCGGACGGGUGAGUAACGCGUAGGAAUCUACCUAGUAGAAGGGGAUAGCCCGGGGAAACUCGGAUUAAUACCGUAUACCUCCUAAGGGAGAAAGAGGGCCUCUCUUGAAGCUCUCGCUACUAGAUGAGCCUGCGUAAGAUUAGCUUGUUGGUAAGGUAAUGGCUUACCAAGGCUACGAUCUUUAGCUGGUCUGAGAGGACGAUCAGCCACAUUGGGACUGAGACACGGCCCAGACUCCUACGGGAGGCAGCAGUGGGGAAUAUUGGACAAUGGGCGCAAGCCUGAUCCAGCCAUACCGCGUGUGUGAAGAAGGCCUUCGGGUUGUAAAGCACUUUAAGCAGGGAGAAAAAGCAAUAAGUUAAUACCUUAUUGCCGUGAUGUUACCUGCAGAAUAAGCACCGGCUAAUUCCGUGCCAGCAGCCGCGGUAAUACGGAAGGUGCAAGCGUUAAUCGGAAUUACUGGGCGUAAAGCGCGCGUAGGUGGUUUGUUAAGUUGGAUGUGAAAGCCCUGGGCUCAACCUAGGAACUGCAUCCAAAACUAACUCACUAGAGUACGAUAGAGGGAGGUAGAAUUCAUAGUGUAGCGGUGGAAUGCGUAGAUAUUAUGAAGAAUACCAGUGGCGAAGGCGGCCUCCUGGAUCUGUACUGACACUAAGGUGCGAAAGCGUGGGUAGCGAACAGGAUUAGAUACCCUGGUAGUCCACGCCGUAAACGAUGACAACUAGCUGUUGGGAGACAAUGUCUUUCAGUGGCGCAGCUAACGUUUUAAGUUGUCCGCCUGGGGAGUACGGCCGCAAGGCUAAAACUCAAAUGAAUUGACGGGGACCCGCACAAGCGGUGGAGCAUGUGGUUUAAUUCGAUGCAACGCGAAAACCUUACCUACUCUUGACAUACUUGGAAGCUCUUGUAAUGAGAGUGUGCCUUUUGGAGCCAAGAUACAGG
rnacentral:rRNA from 1 species